rnacentral:piRNA from 1 species
UGGAAUCCUUGAGACCACGGAGCCAGUUGU